GUUCAUGACCAUACCAGCCUGAACACUCCUGAUCUCAUCUGAGCUCAGAAGCUAAGCAGAAGCAGUCCUGAUUUGUAUUUGGAUGGGAGAAAGUGCUCAGCCACUGGUGCCUGUGUC
ensembl:rRNA 5S_rRNA 5S ribosomal RNA